rnacentral:sRNA from 1 species
AGGAGUCCCUGUUUCUGCUGCUCCAGUACCUGCCCCCUGGGGUCAUCGCCCUGGUCAACUUCCUGGGUCCCCUGCUGUUCACAUUCCUGGUCCAGCUGGAAAACUACCCUCCCAACACGGAGGUCAACCUCACUCUGAUCUGGCGGCGGAGGAAAGGAGGAGCUCGCCUGCAGUCAGGAUCCUGAAAAGGCCACAGGCUUCUCCACCGCAGGGCUUGCUGCAUGUGCCUCUCCACACCGGGCAUGAGGGAACAUGGCUGGACUGUGCAGUGUUUCUCAAACUGAUCUAAAAACAGAACCCUUGGCCAGGCGCCCUGGCCCACGCCUGUAAUCCCAGCACUUUGGGAGGCCAAGGCGGGUGGAUCACCUGAGGUCAGGAGUUCGAGACCAGCCUGGCCAACAUGGCGAAACCCUGUCUGUACUCAAAAUACAAAAUUUAGUCAGAAAUCGCUUGAACCCAGGAGGCAGAGGUGGCAGUGAGCCGAGGUCACACCACUGAACUCCUGCCUGGGUGACAGAGUGAGACUCGGUCUUGAAACAAAACAAAAACACAGAACCCUUUUUCCCAUGA